rnacentral:rRNA from 1 species
GGGGCGCCUUGCGCGCACCGGCGGACGGCUCAGUAACACGUCGGUAACCUACCCUCGGGAGGGGGAUAACCCCGGGAAACUGGGGCUAAUCCCCCAUAGGCCUGAGGUACUGGAAGGUCCUCAGGCCGAAAGGGGCUCUGCCCGCCCGAGGAUGGGCCGGCGGCCGAUUAGGUAGUUGGUGGGGUAACGGCCCACCAAGCCGAAGAUCGGUACGGGCCAUGAGAGUGGGAGCCCGGAGAUGGACACUGAGACACGGGUCCAGGCCCUACGGGGCGCAGCAGGCGCGAAACCUCCGCAAUGCGGGCAACCGCGACGGGGGGACCCCCAGUGCCGUGGCAUCGCCACGGCUUUUCCGGAGUGUAAAAAGCUCCGGGAAUAAGGGCUGGGCAAGGCCGGUGGCAGCCGCCGCGGUAAUACCGGCGGCCCGAGUGGUGGCCGCUAUUAUUGGGCCUAAAGCGUCCGUAGCCGGGCCCGUAAGUCCCUGGC